CUUUGGGGUUCCUGGUUCCAGGACUUGACUCUUGGAUGGCAUUUCGUGACCUGCCCUGGACCAAAGAGGUGCCCACUACCCUGAAGGAAUUGCAGAAUGAACAAGAAUUUCCCAACCAACUAUCUGCUGCUUUCAAGAGUCUCACCUGCCACAAAAUGACUCACAUAAACUUAAGGAAACUUGUUUUGAACUAUUUAUGGCCUUUAAUAAAUAAGUAACAUAUACUCCUGUGAUCAAGAUUUGGAGCAUGUUUGUUUCUCUCUGCCUGUUCCUCUAGAAUUUGAAAACUAACUGUAAUUGUGUCUCUGUACUACGUGACACUCCCAUUGGAUGCAUCCUCCAAUCUGGAAAGAGUUAAUUUCCUAAACCUUAAACUGGUUGGCUUAGUAUUGGGCUCAGGGGAAGGGAACCCAACAGUCAUGAAACUGGAGCCUCUGAUGAUUGUCCCUUCUGCUGGGAACCCUUAGAUAGGCCUCCGAGGGAGAUCUGACUGCCGUUUCCCCAGGACAGCGCCACCUAUCAACAGGAAACAGUGACAACAGUGAAUAGCAGAAGGAAGAAUAAUACAAUUUUUAAAAAGGAGACUCUAGAGAUGUCACAAA